rnacentral:lncRNA from 1 species
UGGACUACAGCGAAACGUCAACUAUGAUGACUUGGACAAAGAAGAUUACCAUUAGUAGUGUACGACGGCCAACAGUGACGAACAAUGACAAACUACAAGGACUAGAUUUCCAUUAGUAACAGACGAGGGCCUACAAUGGUAAACAACGACAAACUAUAGGGAUUCGAUUGCCAUCAGUAACUGAUGAUGGCCUGUAGUGGCUAACAACAACAGAUUGCAAGGACUAGAUUGGACCACAUAGAAACAUACUCCCUCUCGUGGUGAAAGAUAGAAAUGAUGAUGCGUUGAUGACAAACAAUGAAGAUGGAAGAUCUGAAUCUUCAAAAGAAUAGUCUCCUUUAUUCAUCAAAACACCUAGAAACAGACUCUCCGCAAGAGGAACGCCGAUGGAUAGAGGUGGCGAACAACAGUGAAAAAGACACUAUAGAGAACUAGAAUUAGGAUAGGAAGACUGAGGUACUCAGACACAGGUAUAGAAAGAAAAAAUUCUUAGGCGGUCGGCCAAGACAAUCAAAAUUGUGCUGUCAUUGGUCAAAAAUAGAACUCUGAUUGUAGCAAGGGUAGACGAUGGAGGUAGUAGUAGCGACGGUAGACAAUGACGCUGUCGGCAAAAAUAAUAGACGUCGUUGUUGCUGACAGUGGUGGGUGUAGUGAUAGAGGCGAUAUAAUUUUUUUUUUCUCAAAAGAACUAUUAUAUAAAAGAACCUUAGGCUCUAAAUACCAUAUUGAAUAUAAUGAAAAUUAUGUAUGAGUUUAAUCUCCCUUGAGUUAAAUAUAUACAUAAGGUUCUCUAUUUAUAAUAUAAGAAAUAUACAUUAAGUUCAAAAUACAAAUAAGUAAUAAUAACAAACUAACUAAAGAUAAAAGAUAAGAGAAAGAUAAUUAAUAUAUCUAACAAUUUUAAAG